UAGGGAAUCUUCGGCAAUGGACGAAAGUCUGACCGAGCAACGCCGCGUGAGUGAAGAAGGUUUUCGGAUCGUAAAACUCUGUUGUUAGAGAAGAAAAAGGACGUUAGUAACUGAACGUCCCCUGACGGUAUCUAACCAGAAAGCCACGGCUAACUACGUGCCAGCAGACGCGGUAAUACGUAGGUGGCAAGCGUUGUCCGGAUUUAUUGGGCGUAAAGCGAGCGCAGGCGGUUUCUUAAGUCUGAUGUGAAAGCCCCCGGCUCAACCGGGGAGGGUCAUUGGAAACUGGGAGACUUGAGUGCAGAAGAGGAGAGUGGAAUUCCAUGUGUAGCGGUGAAAUGCGUAGAGAUAUGGAGGAACACCAGUGGCGAAGGCGGCUCUCUGGUCUGUAACUGACGCUGAGGCUCGAAAGCGUGGGGAGCAAACAGG
rnacentral:rRNA from 1 species